rnacentral:lncRNA from 1 species
CCUAGUGGGGCAUCUGCUUCAGACUCAGAGCAGCAGUGAAUAUGGGGAUCCCUGCCAGAGGGCCUGGGUGUCCCCCAAGCCGGGGGCUGUAGACCAGCCUUGGGAACCCCUGGAGGUGGGCCUGAAGGUAGAAAAGGAGGGGUCUAUGUUCCUGCUUCAGGCAAUGACAGUGCACAGGGAUCAGAUGUCUCUCUCCCGGCCAAAGGCGAGACUCUGGGGGCCUGGAAGGAGAGAGGGGCUGGGCUUGAGAGAAUUGUCUGGUAUGGACCUGGUAUGGACCUGAGGAAGAAAACCAGUCUCCAGUGCCUGUGUUGUUCCUGUGGACCCCUGGCUUCUCUCCCCAGCAUGGCCCCUGGGAUCCUCCCUGGAUUCUACUGGCCCAAGCCCAGGGAAGCAUCAUAGGGCCUUCACCCUGUUCUCCAAGGCCUCCUUCCCCCACCUUCUUUCUUUCUGCCUGUCUCACUCUGUAGAGACAACCAGCAGUGAGGGCCAGAGGGCUUUGGGAGGGGAACCUUCCUUCACACAUGAUGUUGCACUGACCUCUGGGAGCUUUUUCUGACUGCAAAAACAGCCCAAUGAAUUAUUGCCCUUGAAAUUUCAGCUUUUCUCCCCAAUCUCAGCUAAGCUUCACAUUUGGGUGGGGGAUUUUGGGGGACAGAAUGACAAUGUGGAGAUGUUCUGGCCAUAUGAUGGGAAAAUAAAGGAAAGGUUGGAGACCUCUGAGAAUCCUUU